rnacentral:rRNA from 1 species
AUUUGAAAGCUGGCCCCCCCCGGGGGUCCGCGUUGUAAUUUGUAGAGGAUGAUUCGGCGAGGGCUCCCGCCUAAGUCCCCUGGAACGGGGCGUCAUAGAGGGUGAGAAUCCCGUAUGCGGUGGGCUGCCUUAGCCAUGUGAAUCUCCUUCGACGAGUCGAGUUGUUUGGGAAUGCAGCUCUAAAUGGGAGGUAAAUUUCUUCUAAAGCUAAAUACCGGCCAGAGACCGAUAGCGCACAAGUAGAGUGAUCGAAAGAUGAAAAGCACUUUGGAAAGAGAGUUAAAAAGUACGUGAAAUUGUUGAAAGGGAAGCGCUUGCAGCCAGACUUGCCCGCAGUUGCUCAGCCGGUCUCCUGACCGGCGCACUCUUCUGCGGCCAGGCCAGCAUCAGUUCGGGCGGUCGGAUAAAGGCCCCGGGAACGUAGCUCCUCUCGGGGAGUGUUAUAGCCCGGGGUGGAAUGCGGCCAGCCUGGACUGAGGAUCUCGCUUCGGCUAGGAUGCUGGCGUAAUGGCUGUAAGCGG